GAUGAACGCUGGCGGCGUGCCUAAUACAUGCAAGUCGAGCGAACAGAUUAGGAGCUUGCUCCUCUGACGUUAGCGGCGGACGGGUGAGUAACACGUGGAUAACCUACCUAUAAGACUGGGAUAACUUCGGGAAACCGGAGCUAAUACCGGAUAAUAUAUUGAACCGCAUGGUUCAAUAGUGAAAGACGGUUUUGCUGUCACUUAUAGAUGGAUCCGCGCCGCAUUAGCUAGUUGGUAAGGUAACGGCUUACCAAGGCAACGAUGCGUAGCCGACCUGAGAGGGUGAUCGGCCACACUGGAACGGAGACACGGUCCAGACUCCUACGGGGGGCAGCAGUAGGGAAUCUUCCGCAAUGGGCGAAAGCCUGACGGAGCAACGCCGCGUGAGUGAUGAAGGUCUUCGGAUCGUAAAACUCUGUUAUUAGGGAAGAACAAAUGUGUAAGUAACUAUGCACGUCUUGACGGUACCUAAUCAGAAAGCCACGGCUAACUACGUG
rnacentral:rRNA from 1 species